rnacentral:tRNA from 1 species
UCCAUGGAGGACUAGUGGUUAGUCCUUGGCGCGCUAACCGCCACGGUCUGGGUUCGAUUCCCAGCCAGGGAG